rnacentral:rRNA from 1 species
AUGGAUGCUGCGGUGAUCCUGACUAUACCCAUCGGUACAAGGAAUUUUGAUGACUAUUGGGCAUGGAAUUUUGAAAGAAAUGGCAUAUUCUCUGUACGCUCGGCUUACAGAAUGUUUGUGGCGACACGACAACGGAGAGAAGCAUGGCUGGAUGGCACUCCCGCAACGUCUAGUUCGAACAUGGAAGAGAAAUCAUGGAAGACACUUUGGAAGAUUCAAGUCCCAGCCAAGGUGAGGAUGUUUUUAUGGCGUUUGUCGAAGCAGUCACUCCCUACAGAAGAUGUACGUGCGCAUCGGCACAUGUCUAAUACGAGCUCAUGCGGAAUGAUUCUUGGAGACACUCGCUACUGGAGUGCUCGAUGGCGAGAUGUGUUUGGGCUCUUGAUAACAGUGAUCUGGUGA